GAAACGACUGCUAAUACCGCAUAAGCCCACGGUGCCGCAUGGCACAGAGGGAAAAGGAGCAAUCCACUUUGAGAUGGCCUCGCGUCCGAUUAGCUAGUUGGUGAGGUAAUGGCCCACCAAGGCGACGAUCGAUAGCCGGACUGAGAGGUUGAACGGCCACAUUGGGACUGAGACACGGCCCAGACUCCUACGGGAGGCAGCAGUGGGGAAUAUUGCACAAUGGGGGAAACCCUGAUGCAGCGACGCCGCGUGGAGGAAGAAGGUCUUCGGAUUGUAAACUCCUGUUGUUGGGGAAGAUAAUGACGGUACCCAACAAGGAAGUGACGGCUAACUACGUGCCAGCAGCCGCGGUAAAACGUAGGUCACAAGCGUUGUCCGGAAUUACUGGGUGUAAAGGGAGCGCAGGCGGGAAGACAAGUUGGAAGUGAAAUCUAUGGGCUCAACCCAUAAACUGCUUUCAAAACUGUUUUUCUUGAGUAGUGCAGAGGUAGGCGGAAUUCCCGGUGUAGCGGUGGAAUGCGUAGAUAUCGGGAGGAACACCAGUGGCGAAGGCGGCCUACUGGGCACCAACUGACGCUGAGGCUCGAAAGUGUGGGUAGCAAACAGGAUUAGAUACCCUGGUAGUCCACACCGUAAACGAUGAUUGCUAGGUGUUGGAGGAUUGACCCCUUCAGUGCC
rnacentral:rRNA from 1 species